GAGUUCUGCCAAACAAAAGAAACUCUGCCAUCGCCUUCACGGCAGGACAACGGGGAACACACCGUCACUGCGACAUCAUCAUCAUCUGAAGGCCCGCCCACUUAUUUAUUUAUUUGUUUUUGUUUUUUUGUUUGUUUGUUUGACUGUGCAAU